UUCCUGCGUGGCUGCGACCAAGUGAGGGACAGGACCUCAGCUUGGCCCUGCCUGUGCCAUCUCCUGGUCCCGUGCCCCGGGGCCUCUGAACCCACAGCUGCCUAUGCGUCUCUGCACCAAAGCGUUCUGCGGGGAAGGAUGAGGAAAUUCACUGCCCUCCUCUUCCUGUUCCACUUCGCCUGCUUGGGCAUCACGUCGGCUACUGCAACCACCACGACUGAGACAACCAACACCCCAUCUACGACCUCGUUGACCAUGACAGUGUCCAGUACCACCACAACUUCGUCCAUUAUCGCCAGCACCUGGAUGGAAAUGAGCAAGACCAUGAAAGACAGCGGCACAACCUCAGUGGAAACUGGAACCACCCCGGAUGCCAGCGCCACCACCACGGAGAAAACUGGCACCACCCCGGCUGCCAGUGCCACCACCCCGGAGGAAACCAGCACCACCCCGGCUGCCAGCGCCACCACCCCGGAGGAAACCGGCACCACCCCGGCUGCCAGUGUCACCACCCCGGAGGAAACCGGCACCACCCCGGCUGCCAGUGCCACCACCCCGGAG
rnacentral:lncRNA from 1 species